rnacentral:rRNA from 1 species
AGUGAACGCUGGCGGUAGGCCUAACACAUGCCAGUCGAACGGUAGCACAGUAAGAGCUUGCUCUUACGGGUGGCGAGUGGCGGACGGGUGAGGAAUACAUCGGAAUCUACUUUUUCGUGGGGGAUAACGUAGGGAAACUUACGCUAAUACCGCAUACGAUCUACGGGUGAAAGCAGGGGAUCUUCGGACCUUGCGCGAUUGAAUGAGCCGAUGUCGGAUUAGCUAGUUGGCGGGGUAAAGGCCCACCAAGGCGACGAUCCGUAGCUGGUCUGAGAGGAUGAUCAGCCACACUGGAACUGAGACACGGUCCAGACUCCUACGGGAGGCAGCAGUGGGGAAUAUUGGACAAUGGGCGCAAGCCUGAUCCAGCCAUACCGCGUGGGUGAAGAAGGCCUUCGGGUUGUAAAGCCCUUUUGUUGGGAAAGAAAAGCAGCAGGUUAAUACCCCGCUGUUCUGACGGUACCCAAAGAAUAAGCACCGGCUAACUUCGUG